rnacentral:lncRNA from 1 species
AAAUCCUAAAUUGGUGUUUUUUCCUAUGGUCGUCUCAGUCCUUCACUUUUAGACCUACUGUUUCUUUGCAUGAAUCUCCCCAGAAUGUGCCGUUUGUUUUGAUAUUUCCCUGAGAACUAAGAGUUAUAGACAGAGCUCCUCAGCUCCCUACUACAGUGCGUGGAACUGAUCUAUUUUGUGACUGUGAAGGGAGCCCCUUCUUCUCUCAGUGCCCUGAGUCUCACUCCCUCUUGCUUUUUGAAAAACUUCAGGUUCUCUUCUUUCUCUCUUCUGUACCAUCAUUCUCCCCACCUCUUAAUUAUCAGUUGCAGUAAAGGGUGUCACCAUUCAGCAACAAUUUGGGGGUCAUCUUUGCUACUUUUAUGACUAGUUCCUUACAAAGCAACCCAUCUUAAUCGAUCAGUUUUAUUGCUCAAAUAUGCCUUUUUGUUUUUUGUUUUUGUUUUUGUUUUUGUUUGUUUUGAGAAAGGAGCUCUCGUACACAUAGUGCUGAUUCGCCUGGAACUCACUAUGUAACAGGUUAGCUUUGAAUUUGUAACAAUGUCUUUGCUUCUGCCUCCUAAACCCUGGAUUACAGGUGUGUACAAUCAUGCCUGACUUAAAAUUGACUUUAAUUUGUCUCCUUCCAAACUCAGUGCUAUGACCAACAUAUUUUCUCAUGCCUGGUCUCUCGGGUACCACUUUUGACAUACUUUAGUACCUUUUUGAUAACCUGGUAAUAGUGACCUUUCUCAUCCAUUAAAUCAAAUCAUCUAUUGCUUGUAGAAUAAAAUUGAACCCCCUUACCAUGGCUCACAAAACCAUGCACCAUCUGACCCUUUUCUAGUUCUUGAACAGCCUCUGGACCCUUCUCUCACUGUUUACCAUGCGUGCCCAUGUAACAUGCCAAGCAAGUUUUUUUUUUCUGUACCUCAGGGGGUUAGUAAAUGCUACUAUUUCUAAGCUGCUUUUCAUGGCCACCCUCUCUCCUCCAUUACAAUUUAUCCUGUAGAUGGGUGCAGAGUUUUGAGAGAGGCCUCCCUGGAGUACCAUGUUGAAGUAGUCAUGACCUCCCAACCAUUUCCUCUCCCAGUUCUUUAUUUGUAAUCUUAUUUAUUUGUUGACUCUGACUUAUCUCCACUUCCCCAUUCCAGAAUGUAUGAAGGAAGAAAUAGUGUGUGGAUGUCUGGAUUCUUCAACACUGCAUUCUCUGUCCAUAGCCGAUUUGGUGCAUAUUAGGUGCACAAUCAAUGUCUUGAAAGAAUACAUGAAUACAUAUGCAAAUUUCUCUGUUGGGGAUUCACUUUCUAUUGAUGUAGUAAAAGUUGUUUAUAUAUUAAAACCACUAAUCAUUUGUUUAUUCUGUUUGUUGCAGACAUUUCUUCCCCAAUUUGUGCCAGUUUAAUUCUUAAUGUCUAUGAUGUACAGAAAUACUGUAUUUUCACAACAAUAAAUACCCUUUAUGAAUCCUGCACCCGGUGAUAUGUUUAAAAAAUCUCCAUGUCAGUGUUACAUGCAUGUUUGUUUCCUUUCAUUUUAAUUUUUUAGAUUUAAAUAUUUUCUCUAAAUGGAAUUUAUUUUUGGUAUAGAUGUAUAAGGGCCUAAGUAUUUAUUUAGUCGUUACAUCAUCAUUUAUUGAAAGUUCUCUCUUUUUUCUACUGUUUUGAAUAUUUCACAUUUAUCAGAUAUUAAAUUUCUUAUACCUAGAGCGGUUUCUGGAUUUGUUACUUCUUUGUUGUUCCUGAUGCUGUUAUUUUAACUAUUGUCCUGCCGUUGGUUGCUAUGCUGUGUGUUUACAAUGAAAUAAUAUUACUCUUAUUUUUUAAAAAAUUAUUUUUGUGUUUUGGCUGUUUUUGCAUCUAUUCUCCUCAAUAAGCUUUAGUUAUAUUUUGGUAAAGUCCAAAAGAAAGUCUCUUGUUGUUUUGUUUAGGAUUGCUUUAAGAUUAUGAUUAUUUGAAAAAUAGUUGUGAAGAUUUGUACUCUUUACAACUAUUGAGGAACUUGUCACAUGUCAAGGUCACCGAAGACACCUUGUAUGUCCUUCAGGUCUUCUGUUUUUAAUGUGGCACAAACUUAUUGGUUAUAUUUUACCUUCUGUUGCUGUUUGACUGUGAUCAGUUUUUCAUUUUUAAGAGCUUUUAUAAAAGCUGUUCCUUGUAGGGUCACUUGAUUUUUUUUUUUUGAUAACUUUUCAUAUCGCUCACUAAUCUUUACUGAUUCAUUUCUACAUAGCCAGUCAUUUUAAAGAAAAUAUAUGAUCAUUUCUUGUUUUUUUGGCUGUGCUUACACCUCAUCAAAUAUGUGAUGGUAAUAGCUUUGCUCUUAUUCCUGACGUUUUAGGAAUGCCUCCAUCAGUAUUUUAUCAGAUUUUAAUAUUAACUACUGAACUAAAAUACAGGCCUUCAGGCAAAGGACAUGGCUUUCUGGUUCAAGUAUACCAAACAUUAUUUUAGAAGUUCAUGUUGAAUAAUAUUAAUCAUUCUAGACAACUAGAGAUUAUCAUAGAGUUUUAUUUUGUUGUCUGUCACCACAAUGUCUAAUGUCACAAAAAAUAAUUAUUAUUAAACGAUUUCCUAAUUCCAGGCUCUUUCUGCAUAAGAUACAGUCUGUAAUCAUGGUGAACUUUCCCUUCAUUUUAAAGUACAUGAGUACAUUUUCCCCCAUUUAUAUAUAUGAGUACAGUGCCACUGUCUUCAGAACCCCAGAAGAGGACAUCCGAUCCCAUUAGAGAGGGUCAUGUGUCACCAUGUGGUCGCUGGGAAACAAACAGCAUUUUAAAGUAUAAUAAUGUCAAAUUAAACGCCUAUAUUUUAAGUGGGGUUAUUACACUUAUAUUCAUAAAAAAGACUAGAUUGUAGUCUCAUAUUUUUGUAUUCUCUCUUAGAUUCAGAAGUGGGGAUCUCUCUUGUUUUUAUGAUAUAAAGUAGCACUGUAGGAGCUGUCUGGUCCUUGAUGGCUGGGAGAACCCCCCCCCACACACACACACACACACAACACUGUUUAUAAGGUAAAAGGUAAUUCUCUGAAAUUUUUGAAAAGUUCUAUGGUUUUGUCCUAUACAGGCAACCAUACUUCUUGAAUAGCAACUUUAAAAUUAUAUUUUUAAAAGAAAGUCAUGCAUUUUCAUAGAAUUUAAAGCUGUUAGAUUUCUGCAUAUAUUUAUCUUAAAAUUAAAAAUAUUUUUCUCU